GUGGCCUGCUGGGUGACGUGGGACAUCUGAUCUGGCAAGGUCCUUGGCAGACAGCGGGGACCAGGGGGCAGUGCUUCAUUUCCCUCUUCCCCUUCAGAAAUCUCAUGAACAAACUGUGUGAACAAGAUAGCAUCUAAAGAAAGAUCACAAACACAUGGAUACCAAGCUGUCAUGGCCAAGCAGAAUCUUCCGAGGUGGUUUUUGGGAGACACCGAGUCCACCGUCUCCCAGGAUUGCCAUCUUUCUGACUAAAAGCAACUUUCCUUUCUGCCUACGUUUGCCUCACUUGAGUACUGAUUUUUUUGAGUGAGGAGUAGCUGGACCUAGGACCUUUUUGGGUAGCACCAGGAUCCUCCUCCCUAUGGGAGGGAACAAGGAGAGUAGUGUACUUCCUAUGCUACUUCUGAAAAAGUUCUUACUCACAAAGUACAUCAAUCAAAUGAAAAAAAAAAGAAUUAGAAGGAGGAAUUCAAGAAAAAGACGGUGCUAUAUGAGGCAGUGACCAGCAACACAAUAAACGUUAGGGUUGAAUCUGAA